GCGUCAGUAGUGCAAUGGUUAAGCACGCGCCCCCGGAAAGGGUGAAGUGCUGGUUCAAGUCCCGUAUGAGGUC